GAGUAACACGUGAGCAACCUGCCCCUAACUCUGGGAUAACGCUUCGAAAGGAGUGCUAAUACCGGAUAUGAGCCUGAGCGACAUCGCUUGGGUUGGAAAGUUUUUCGGUUAGGGAUGGGCUCGCGGCCUAUCAGCUAGUUGGUGAGGUAAAGGCUCACCAAGGCGACGACGGGUAUCCGGCCUGAGAGGGCGACCGGACACACUGGGACUGAGACACGGCCCAGACUCCUACGGGAGGCAGCAGUGGGGAAUAUUGCGCAAUGGGCGAAAGCCUGACGCAGCGACGCCGCGUGAGGGAUGAAGGUCUUCGGAUUGUAAACCUCUUUCAGCAGGGACGAAGCGAAAGUGACGGUACCUGCAGAAGAAGCACCGGCUAACUACGUGCCAGCAGCCGCGGUAAUACGUAGGGUGCAAGCGUUGUCCGGAUUUAUUGGGCGUAAAGAGCUCGUAGGCGGUUAGACACGUCGGAUGUGAAAACUGGGGGCUCAACCCCCAGCCUGCAUUCGAUACGGUCUGACUAGAGUGUGGUAGGGGUAACUGGAAUUCCUGGUGUAGCGGUGAAAUGCGCAGAUAUCAGGAGGAACACCGAUGGCGAA
rnacentral:rRNA from 1 species